UUUGAAAAGAGAGUUAAAAAGCACGUGAAAUUGUUGAAAGGGAAGCGCUUGCGACCAGACUCGCCUCCAGGGUUCAGCCGGCAUUCGUGCCGGUGUACUUCCCUGGGGGCGGGCCAGCGUCGGUUUGGGCGGCCGGUCAAAGGCUCCCGGAAUGUAGUGCCCUUCGGGGCACCUUAUAGCCGGGAGUGCAAUGCGGCCAGCCUGGACCGAGGAACGCGCUUCGGCACGGACGCUGGCAUAAUGGUCGCAAACGACCCGUCUUGAAACACGGAACCAAGACUCGGGUCGUUUGC
rnacentral:rRNA from 1 species